CACAGCAGCUGGAAGAUCCAUAGCAACAACUCAAACAACAUCCUUGCAGAACACAGCACAUCACGUGGCUUUCCCAACACCACACCUCUGAAGACAGAAUUCGGCCAAAACUCCAGCUUAGAGUGCCAAGAACAGAGCAGACACCCAUAAAAGUACUCUUAGAGCUCGACAGUGUCAGGCUUUCCCUGCCCAGGUGUCAGCUGGGCAAUCCUCACAAGCACUGUGUCAAAGGGCCCAGCCCAGCAACCUGCCAGGACACCUCUGGCCUUCCAGCAGGACAGGAGAGGCACCAGGUGUGUGGGGUGACUGUCCCUUUCUUUGUGCACCUCGUGCCAUUCACCUCUCCCCACAGACACACUUGGAAAGCUACUUGACAAUACAUUGAGAGAAGACCUUCAUAAAGCUUUUUCCUGACACUUUCCAGACACUUCUCCAUGUCCAGUGAAGACAU